rnacentral:lncRNA from 1 species
CAGUCGGAGUCUGGGAGGAGAGGGGACGUUUCCUAUCGAUCAACAUCCGCAGACAGUGGAUCUACUUUGGCCAUGAGGGUGAGGACCAUGCAUCCACCUUGUAGGAUUGCUCACUCAGUUCUUGCUGCUCUCUUACCAAAAGGAGCACAGCCUAGACGAGCUGGAAGACUUUGCAUGACCUGGGCCUCAGCAUGUGCUUCCGGGGACAUCAAAGAAGGCUUCUCGGAGGAGGGGCACCAGAGCGGGGCCUUGAAAGUAGGGUCUGGGCUGCCAGGGAGGGGCAGCAAGGACCCCGGCUUUAUGAGCCACCUCUUGAAACCCACCCUCCUUCCUCAGAUGAGAGUGUCGAAAAGGCCAGCUCAGCAGACCAGGGGUCCACACGCCCCUCUGCACAGAUGGUCCCCAGCCUGGGCUCCAUCUCUCUCACCCUGGCAGCUGGUGGGCAGUGGCGGCAGGAAUAUUGCCACACACGCUGUGAGAGAAAGUAAAGAAGGACAUUUUCAGUUCAGAGCUCAGAUCCCCGGAUCGUGUUCUCUCUUCCCAUUCUGCCUGGCCGGCGCGGAGCUGGCGUGAAUUCAUCCCAAUAUUUAUUGGAUGUUGGCCGUGACCCUGGAGCGGGUCCUCAAGACCCUGCAGCCUGCUUCCCGCAUGAACCCCUCACUUGCUGGAGCGUGGAGAGGCCCAGGGGCCGGGGGGCCAGGAGCGGCCAGGGAGCUGGGGGGUCACCCUGGGGCGUAAGAGCCCGGGGGCCCUGGUUGUGGGCAGAAGUUCAAGCCAAAGUCCUAGCAUUGCCGUGGACCCUGCAGAUCACCUAGUGGGGAGAAGAGGUCCCCAUGCUCUCCCAGGGAAGACAUUGGCCUAAGCUGGAUUUCAGGGACUCAGGCUGAUGGCAAUGAAGCUAAACUCAGUCAGUGGGGUGAAACUGGCAGCAUGAAAAAUUUAAAUAAAAAUCUGAUUUUUAAUA